GGGUCCCUAGGUGGGAUUUUUAGAUAUUGAAGGAGAAAAAAUUUUGCCAUCCCAAGACACAUCUCUUUGUCACAUCACCUAUCUUAAGCUGUUUUUUUUUAAGGAACUGUAGACCUAAGAGAAGCUCUGAGAAACCGAGUACCAGAAAGAGAAGGACAACACUGAACCUAAAUCUUUAGAAACUCUUUAUUAAUGGAGAAGACAAGGACUUAAGGACAAGGACCUACCCCGUUUACUGUGCCGUUCCUGGCAGUGGGUCAUUGUGAGACACCAGACACAGGAGUAUUGAGUGGAAUUCAAGUGAGAAACAAGUGCAUAUGGAAGCUGCCUUCAUAUCGACUUCCUUACGCAUGAAAUAGAAAGAGAGAAAGAAAG